CCACAGCCUACUAAAUAGUGAUGCGUGUGGCGACACACGUAGAUUGCUUCUUAGAGGGACAUUUCGGGUCUGCCGGAAGGAAGUUUGUGGCAAUAACAGGUCUGUGAUGCCCUUAGAUGUUCUGGGCCGCACGCGCGCUACACUGAUCGGUUCAGCAAGUUUUCAUUCUUUGGAGUGGAGUCCUUGACCGGAAGGUCUGGGUAAUCUGAAAAGGCGAUCGUGAUGGGGCUAGAUUUUUGCAAUUCUUAAUCUCCAACGAGGAACCAAUCUCCAACGAGGAACCAAUCUCCAACGAGGAACC
rnacentral:rRNA from 1 species